AUAUUUUCGUAACUUAAUAUUUUCUAUAAUAAAAUUAAUUUAAUUGGACUUCAACAUAAAUUGAUUUUACAAAACUCAUUUUAAAAGUUUAUACCAGACGUAAAAAGACACGACCCGCCCACCUGCAGCAACGGAAGAACAAGCCCGGGCAAGUCCUUCACGCUCGUCUGUUUCAUGAGUUUAUUUGAACAAGGUUUUCCACGGAGCCGGAUCAUUUAUACUUCAAGUUCCCCAUGCCUAACUGGAGCGCCUGGCUGAAGCCAUGUUUUCCUACACCGCUUACCCCAAUGAUGCCCAGAGAUGUGCAGUGGCAGAGGCACUAGUUGCAAAGCAUCCCUGCUUAAAGGAGCCCGGAUCUUUCAAUGGAAUUUAUGGGUGGCAGCAAAGCCUAAAGUACAAGUGUGGAAACUACCGGACAAAACGGAAAGCCCUUGGAAGCACUGAACUCCUGAUAAACUCACUGAGAAACAAGUCAAGUGAUGAGCGAAAAGCUGCUAAAAAUGUCAAGAAACCAAAGAGGGCAGAGGUGAAUUACUUGCCCUCACACCCACAUGGUGAAACAGAUGACACCCUUGAGAAUCUGAGACUUGACUUAAUUGCUGCCCCAAAGCUUGAUUACCCCAAAGCUCCUAGAGCUCUUUAGUGCCAAGGGUGGAGCAACUGGUCAACGCAUCAAAAACUUGAUGAUGGAACUGAUACAGGACCCAAGUGCCACUGCAGUGAAGAAGAGAGAUGUCACUCUGAGAUGCCUCUUUGAGUAUAUGGGAGAGAGUGGACAAGAGCUCAUCUCUGAUUACUUUGGGGCUGCAGAGACCACUGUUCAUGAGGACCUGAAAAUGAAGAAUAUGAUCAUCUAUGUCUGCCGUGAGCCAGAUGCAGUAGGAAUCAUCAUAGAGGGAAUACCAGUCCUUACCAAUCUUGGAAAUCUGGCCAAAGCAUGCUGCUUGCUGCUUGGGUUGACAUAUGCACUUAAUCUUGAGUAUCCAUCCAAGGUUUCCAAAACAUUUGAGGUGUUUCAAAGACUUUUCGUGGGACUUGACACACUGCGCCCAAAACCAAGCCCCAAGUUCAUGACUCUGAAAAACAAGCUCCUCGCCUAGGCACUCAGACAUGACUGUCACUCUGCACUUGUGAACAGCUGUUUUCUUUGUCUGUUCAACAUCAUUGUACACUGGACAUAAUGUUGAAUUUUUCAGGAUGUUCUAAUGGUUUGUUCUUGUAAUGUGUUAUACUAUGCUGCAGGUCAUUCUGGUGUGCAAAAAAGUUUAUAUUUUAUACACACAAAAUAGCCCUGCUGUGAAGCUGCACUUUAAAAACUGGUCAGUUAGUGGGAUCAGUGAGAUGUUUAACUAAAGAGGUUUCAAAAUAUUCACACACUGUGAAGGUAUUAUGCUAAGCUGCACUUUUUAAGUUGAGGUCAGAUGCUCAUGCUUGUGAUGCUCAUGCUUGUGACAUGCUGUAAUGUUAGUGUUAAAUGUUUCAAUGUUAUGUACACACUGUACUGUUAAGGUGUUUUACUAACCAGCAGUUUAUAAGCUAAGGUUAUGCUUUCUUUAAUGCAAGAACACAGAUGUUCUUGAUAGUUUAUACUGUCCAGCUCAUUGCUACUGUUUGUAUAUGGCUUGUGACAAAAGUGCCUGUUAACUUGAUAUUAAAAUGUUUUAAUAUUAUGUAUGUACACAGUAAAAAAUACUGUGAAGGUGUUCUACUAACCUGCACUUUGUAAGCUGAUGCAGAUGUUAUUGGUUGUUUACACUGUCCAGCUCAUUGCUGCUGUUUGUAUAUGGCAAUUAAUAAAUGCUGGAAAUUGACACAGUAUCUAAGCAACUAAUUAUUUGAAGCCGUUUACACUUCCAAAACAAGAAAGGGCAAACUGGUUAAAAUUAAUAAAUCAGAAGCCAUUAACCAGUAUUUUUUCAUUUAAAUGUUACCUAUUUUAAUUAAGCCUAAUGUGUGUAAUAUGCUGAUAUUUUUUACAUUGAUUGUACUCAAUUUAUUGGCUUUUUCUGAAAGUGCUACUUAAUAUUUUUACAUACAUUGAAAUGCUUAUUAUUAAGUUGGCCUUACUCAAAAUAUCAGUUAGUUCACUAAACUUGCAAAAAGUAGUUGGAAAAUGUUGUCUUAAUUUUAUUGAGUUAGAUCCAAGUAACAGUUUUAACAGUGUACAUCACUCUCAGAGCGAUUGCAUGUCUGACAGAUGACCAAGUUUACUGAGUGCCGUUAAGAGAUGGAUUCUGGGGCAGGAACCCAAUUUAU
ensembl:lncRNA